rnacentral:rRNA from 1 species
CCUAGUAACGGCGAGUGAAGCGGCAACAGCUCAAAUUUGAAAUCUGGCGCAAGCCCGAGUUGUAAUUUGUAGAGGAUGCUUCUGGGCAGCGGCCGGUCUAAGUUCCUUGGAACAGGACGUCAUAGAGGGUGAGAAUCCCGUAUGCGACCGGUUGGCACCCGUCACGUAGCUCCUUCGACGAGUCGAGUUGUUUGGGAAUGCAGCUCUAAAUGGGAGGUAAAUGCCUUCUAAAGCUAAAUACCGGCCAGAGACCGAUAGCGCACAAGUAGAGUGAUCGAAAGAUGAAAAGCACUUUGGAAAGAGAGUUAAAAAGCACGUGAAAUUGUUGAAAGGGAAGCGCAUGCAACCAGACUUGUCGGCGGUGUUCCGCCGGUCUUCUGACCGGUCUACUCGCCGUCGGCAGGCCAGCAUCAUCUGGGAGCGCCGGAUAAAGGCGCGGGGAAUGUGGCUCCUCGGAGUGUUAUAGCCCCGCGUGCAAUACGGCGCCUCCCGGGUGAGGUCCGCGCUUCGGCUAGGAUGCUGGCGUAAUGGUUGUCUGCGGCCCGUCUUGAAACACGGACCAAGGAGUCUAACAUCUGUGCGAGUGUUCGGGUGUCAAACCCCUACGCGUAAUGAAAGUGAACGGAGGUGGGAACCUUAGGGUGCACCAUCGACCGAUCCUGAUGUCCUCGGAUGGAUUUGAGUAAGAGCAUAGCUGUUGGGACCCGAAAGAUGGUGAACUAUGCCUGAAUAGGGUGAAGCCAGAGGAAACUCUGGUGGAGGCUCGCAGCGGUUCUGACGUGCAAAUCGAUCGUCAAAUUUGGGUAUAGGGGC